ACAACCCACCAAGGGCGGGCGGCGGGGGCCCAGGACGGAGGGCCAGAAACAAGGCCACAAAAAACAAAGAAACGAAAACACACAGAGCAAACACAACAAUGGCACAAAAAGUCCGAGACCCGACUUCAGGAGGGCGACCAUGAACCCGGCAGAACAGGAGCGAAUGGCGAAGCGGUUCAGGUGGUCGCCCCGGAGGCCGACAACAAAACAAAAGACAGUUCAAAAGUUCAGGAGGCCGACCAGGAGGCCAACGGUCCAGCAGUCCAAAAUCCAUGAGCUCAGGGGGCCGACCCGGAGGCCAACGGUCCAAGAGCCCAGAAAACAGUUCAGGAGGCCGGCCAGGUAGAAGGCACCGGUGGCGACGGAGCAGAUCAGGAGGCCGACCGGGCGGGAGGCAGCGACGGCGACCAAGCAGGUCAGGAGGCCGGCCGGGCGGGAGGCACUGGUGGCGUAGCAGUUCAGGGGGCCGUCCAUGACGGCGGCGUAGUUCAGAGGGCUGUCCAUGACGGCAACGACGCCCAGUCAUCGGCCGGACAGAACGUGCAGGACGAGCAGGCCGGACCGGACGUGCAGGACGAGCAGGCCGGACAGGACCAGACGAAGCUGAACACUCGGAGGCCGGACCAGGCGGAGCUGCAGAGGCUGAGGCCGGACCAGGCGGAGCUGCAGAGGCUGAGGCCGGACCAGGCGGAGCUGAAGACACUGAGGCCGCAGCAGACGAAGCACAGGCCGGAGCCGCAGCAGACGAAGCACAGGCUGGAACUGGACCAGGCGAAGCAGAAGCACAGGCUGAAGCUGGACCAGGCGAAGCAGAAGCACAGGCUGAAGCUGGGCCAGGCGAAGCACAGGCUGAAGCUGGA
ensembl:lncRNA